AUGUUUUUUCUUUGGGAAGUAGAAUGUAUCAACCUGAUACUUAACUUCUUUGGCGGUUGUACUGUUCAAAUUAGUUUGAAUGAAUUUAAAGAACAUAAAAUACAUCACACAAUAGGAAGGAAAAUUUCUCUGUUACCGAGAUCCCUGAAGUAUAGCAUUUUCAAUGUUGAUGUAAGUAUAAAUGUCAGCAUUCAUUGGGGUGCAACUGGAUUUCCCAACACAAUAGAACCAUCUGCAGCCAUUUCGGUCAUUGUUUUCCUGCAACCAUUUGAGCAUCCUAUUUGGUAUAAGCUUUAUUUGUGUUAA